CCGGCCUCUGCCAAGGCCAGACUUGGGUCCACUGUGGGAUAGAAAGCAGGAUGCCAGGGGUCGGUCUGUCUUAGUGAAGAGAGCUUAACUGAGUGGACUCCUGGAGUCCUGGAACUGAGGACAGCUGGCAACUCAUCUCUAAACCCAGGAGACCUAACCAGGUCAUUCAGCAUGAGUGGUGCAGGAGAAAUGGGGGGUACCAUUAGGGAUUCAGCCCCAGCUCUAACAGGCAGGGUUCUCAGUAAGGAGCCAAAGGCGUCUGAGGAUACAGAGCCCUCAGAAGACGAAGAGGGACCUGCCAGCCGCUGAGGGUACACCAACAGAGUGUCGUCCCCUACUUCCAAUUUGGAAGCUUCCAGCCCCAUCCCAGACACCGCGGAAAAAGGGGGACCACUCAACCAGCCACGCUGUCACCACCCUGGAUUUUUGUCCCAUCCCACGUCCCAAGAGGCUGCCCAUGUCAAGGACGGCGUGCAUGACUCUCUGUAUCUGGGUCACUGUCUGGGCGUCUGACUCACGGGGCUGCUUCAGUGCUGUCGGGGUGCAGAGCGUGAGAAGAGCAGUCGCACUUGCUGAUUUCCUCAAAGCAGCUGAGUGAGAGGCUGGGCCUGCACGUGGCCUGUGUACAACUGACGGGUGGGUGUGUUUGUGUACAGUGGCAUGCGUCCAAAAGGCUGAGCACAUGCCUGUGUGUGUGCACAUGUGUUCAUGUAUAUGCAGAGGUAUGUGACUGGUGUGUCGGAGGGAGGGGCAAGUGCACACGAGCGGUGGAUGUACCUGGGUGAAGAAAGACAGAAACAUGGAAGGCGACAGAGUGACACUUGUUCCACCUUUCAACUUUAUGGGCAUGAGUAUUUUUUCUUGGGAGAAAAGAGGAGGAUUUGUGAGAAACACGGUACAACUUUUCAAAGAACAUGGAACUGGCUCCCAGUCCUGUGUCUUCUCUGUGGAAUAUGAGGCACUGACUGCCCUGCCAGACAGGGACCCACUGACAUUAUUUGAGAGAUACCCACGUCCCAAGAGCUCAGAGAGGCUAAGUUACAGUCCCAGCUCACAAGCUCUGAGGGACAUAAAAGGCUGGCUUUCUCCUAGGGGAAGGUAGGAGAUUCAGGUUAGCACCCACUCUGUCAUUCAAUGCUGUGAUAUUCCUGAGGGAAUCCCCACUCCCUGGAAAAAAAAUCAUCAUAUAGGAGUGUUGCAGUAAAUUCCCCAACCCAAAUAAACCGUGCAAUGAAAACACAGCUCAAAUACGAGCUGUGCGCCCAGACCGGGCAGAUCCGCCACUGUACUACUCUAUUCCCAGCUGAGAUCCCCGAUAACUUGCGGUUUCUCCAGGCCACGUGCUUCAGCUCCAUCUUCCUCCCACCACCUCCUCCUCUUUCUCCUCUCUCUCCCUCUCCUCCACUCUUCAGCUCCCUCCCCUGCCCAAUCACGGGCUCUGGCCUUUAUUUUACAAGUUAAACCGGGGAGAAGGUUCAGGUGAAGUCACCUGAGUGUGUGAUUUACUCCUUGUCCAAGGCAGCCUCUCUUGGGGAAGUGUAAUUAGCAUCAAAAUACAAACAGCACCAGGGCAACCCAC